rnacentral:rRNA from 1 species
AGUUUGAUCCUGGCUCAGAUUGAACGCUGGCGGCAGGCCUAACACAUGCAAGUCGAACGGUAACAGAGAGUAGCUUGCUACUUUGCUGACGAGUGGCGGACGGGUGAGUAAUGUCUGGGGAUCUGCCUGAUGGAGGGGGAUAACUACUGGAAACGGUAGCUAAUACCGCAUAAUGUCGCGAGACCAAAGCGGGGGACUUUCGGGCCUCGCACCAUCAGAUGAACCCAGAUGGGAUUAGCUAGUAGGUAAGGUAAUGGCUUACCUAGGCGACGAUCCCUAGCUGGUCUGAGAGGAUGACCAGCCACACUGGAACUGAGACACGGUCCAGACUCCUACGGGAGGCAGCAGUGGGGAAUAUUGCACAAUGGGCGCAAGCCUGAUGCAGCCAUGCCGCGUGUAUGAAGAAGGCCUUCGGGUUGUAAAGUACUUUCAGUCAGGAGGAAGGGUGUGAAAUUAAUACUUUCAUGCAUUGACGUUACUGACAGAAGAAGCACCGGCUAACUCCGUGCCAGCAGCCGCGGUAA